rnacentral:rRNA from 1 species
CCUACGGGGGGCAGCAGUAGGGAAUAUUUCUCAAUGGGGGAAACCCUGAAGCAGCAACGCAGCGUGGAGGAUGAAGGUUUUCGGAUUGUAAACUCCUUUUGUUAGAGAAGAUAAUGACGGUAUCUAACGAAUAAGCACCGGCUAACUCCGUGCCAGCAGCCGCGGUAAUACGGAGGGUGCAAGCGUUACUCGGAAUCACUGGGCGGAAAGAGCGCGUAGGCGGGAUAGCAAGUCAGAUGUGAAAUCCUAUGGCUUAACCAUAGAACUUCAUUUGAAACUGUUAUUCUAGAGUAUGGGAGAGGUAGGUGGAAUUCUUGGUGUAGGGGUAAAAUCCGUAGAGAUCAAGAGGAAUACUCAUUGCGAAGGCGACCUGCUAGAACAUAACUGACGCUGAUGCGCGAAAGCGUGGGGAGCAAACAGGAUUAGAUACCCCAGUAGUC